UGGUAGCAGGGAGGCUUCUCUGCCUCGCUUCUGACUGUAGAUCCAGUAGAGUCAUGGAAUCUGCCUUUUUAACAAGUCACCUAUGUGAUUGUAAAGCAUGUGACAGCAGUAGCUGGGGAAUGUGCAAGAGCUGGUGGGGGUGGCUAGGGGAUGGGCACUCCCUCCCUGACCCACUCCCUGCCCCUGUAGCCUGCAGUGUGCUCUACUUGACCUCAGUGGAGACAGAGUCACUGACGGGCCCCCAAGCUGUGGCCCGGGCCAGCUCUGCAGCUCUGAGCUGUAGCCCCCGCCCGACACCAGCUGUUGUCCACUUCAAGGUGUCAGCCCAGGGCAUUACACUGACGGACAACCAAAGGAAGCUCUUCUUUCGCCGCCAUUAUCCAGUGAACAGCAUCACCUUCUCCAGCACUGACCCUCAAGACCGGAGGUGACUCUCCCUCCAAACCCUUUGCCCCAAAUCCCCAUGGUCCCACCAGGUCCCAGCUCCCAGCCCCAGCCCCAGCCCCGGCCCCCCU
rnacentral:sRNA from 1 species